rnacentral:lncRNA from 1 species
CGCAUUUUCAUGAUUUUCCAACACAUAUAUACUUAUGCAUUUUUAUUUUGUAAAUUUAUACACAUAUUCAUACUUUUUGUUUAUUUUCACGAUUUUCAAAUACAUAGUGCAUUUUUUAUUAGUUUUUGAUUGAUAUAUUUCAUUCCAUCUUUUUAUAUGUAUCCUUGUAUAUUAUACUUGUACAUAUAUAUUUUGUAAAUACAUAUACACAUGUAAUUCAUUAUUGAAGUAUUUGUUUUGAUAUUAUACAUCCACUUUUUAACAUGC